AGGGUGUAAACGCUGCAGACUUGGUGUUGGAAGUCCUUUGGGGGCAUUCAGUGCCGGAGAGAAGUUGUUAAGUCUGCUACUUGGGGAGUACGUCCGCAAGGAUGAAACUUAAAGGAAUUGCGGGGGAGCACCGCAACGGGAGGAGCGUGCGGUUUAAUUGGAUUCAACACCGUAAAACUCACCAGGGAAGACUGUUACAUGAAAGCCGAGAUGAAGACUCUGCUAGAUUUUUCAGAGAGGAGGUGCAUGGCGUCAGUGACU
rnacentral:rRNA from 1 species